UGCAUGACACCAUACUGGGUAG
rnacentral:piRNA from 1 species